UUCAAGAAAAUCGAAAAGGAGCAGUAAAAUAACAAGUAAGAAAAAUAAUCAGGAUUCUUAUCUUCUUGUAUCUACUAUGAAGGUGCAAGCUAGAGAGAAUUACCAGGUUUCAAUUUGAAUGGUAGGUGAAAGAAUGAAUUAAUGGAAAGCUGUAGAAUGAUAUGGGUUGUUGAGGACAAUCUUGUAAUUUCACAUUAAAACUUGAAUCCCCUAAUUGUAAACGCUGCUCUUAGCUGCGUUUCUAGAUUUAGCUGAUUAUUCUCAAUCCGCUAUUCCAAUUCUCUAACAACCAAACACCCCAAUUAGAGGUUUUGAAAGGUCAAACCUCUAAAUUGAUCCAAACCUCUAAUUUUCUCACAAUCCUCUAACAACCAAACAUCCCCUAGUUGUUUCCAUUCACCCCCACCCAUUUUUUGAUUACAAGUUUACAUCUUCUUCGUCCCUUUAAUCUCUGCUCAACUCCCCAGUCCCCUCCCUCCUCAAUAGCUCAUCUCCUCAACUACCAAACUUCUGAAUUUCAAUUCUAAGAUUAUUAGUUCAAUUCUUUUUCAUAAAUUGGUUCCCUCUAUUCUCUUUCACUAUGCUCUCUCUCUCUCUCUCUCUCUAUUAUUGAACAUCGGGCCCCAUUGAAGGUUGAAGGUUGAAGGUUGAAGGUUGGAAGCUUCAACCUGAUAACAACAGGGCAAGGUACAAAACAAGUUAUCCUUCCAAUCAACAACCAUUGCCACUGUGGGUACCUGAUGUCAAAAAUACGAGCUUGUGAUGUUGUUAGUUGUUUUGCCUUGGUGAUAAUGAUGAUGCAUAUGCAGUAGUUAAGAUGCAGUAGUGUUUUUAACUUGAUGCAGAAGAUGCAGUAGUGUUUUUAACUUGAUGCAGAAGAUGCAGAUGCAAAUGUUUGGUGGUGAUGAUGGAUGUUAGGCUUUAAGUAGUGUUUAGGUUGUAAUUAGGGGUAUGAUCAUGAUGAUGAUGUACUAGUAUUUUGGUUGGAUUUUGGCUUAAACUAGCUAGUGUAGUAGGUUGUAAUUCGGGUUGUUGCAGUUUAGGGUUCGUAGUUAUCACGUAAACUUGAGUUACUUUGACAAUUUUUAGCAAGUUGUAAAUUGAGUUACAAAUGAAUGAAUUGAAAAUAGAAGGAUUAUUUUGUAA